rnacentral:rRNA from 1 species
UACGGAGGGGGCUAGCGUUGUUCGGAAUUACUGGGCGUAAAGCGCGCGUAGGCGGACCUGCAAGUCGGGGGUGAAAGCCCGAGGCUCAACCUCGGAACUGCCUUCGAUACUGCGGGUCUCGAGUCCGGGAGAGGUGAGUGGAAUUCCUAGUGUAGAGGUGAAAUGCGUAGAGAUCAUGAGGAAGACCAGUGGCGAAGGCGGGUCUCUGGACAGUUCCUGACACUGAGACACGAAGGCCAGGGGAGCAAACGGG